rnacentral:misc_RNA from 1 species
AUGCGAUAAGUAAUGUGAAUUGCAGAAUUCCGUGAAUCAUCGAAUCUUUGAACGCACAUUGCGCCCUCUGGCAUUCCGGGGGGCAUGCCUGUCCGAGCGUCAUUACGCACCCUCAAGCCCGGCUUGUGUGAUGGGCCCCGGCGUCUCGUUCGCGAGACGGGCCCGAAAGGCAGCGGCGGCGUCGACCCGACAAGCCCGAGCGUAUGGGGACUUUUGUCACACGUUCGCGGUGCGGACCGGCGCCUGCCCGACCCUCAAUCUUCCAGGUUGACCUCGGAUCAGGUAGGGAUACCCGCUGAACUUAA